UACGUAGGGGGCUAGCGUUGUCCGGAAUCAUUGGGCGUAAAGAGCGCGUAGGCGGCCCGGUAAGUCUGCUGUAAAAGUCAAAGGCUUAACCUUUGAAAGUCAGUGGAUACUGCCGGGCUAGAGUCCGGAAGAGGCGAGUGGAACUCCUGGUGUAGCGGUGGAAUGCGCAGAUAUCAGGAAGAACACCAACGGCGAAGGCAGCUCGCUGGGACGGAACUGACGCUGAGGUGCGAAAGCGUGGGGAGCGAACAGG
rnacentral:rRNA from 1 species